CUUACGGCCAGGGCUACACACGUGCUACAAUGGCAUAUACAAAGAGAAGCGACCUCGCGAGAGCAAGCGGACCUCAUAAAGUAUGUCGUAGUCCGGAUUGGAGUCUGCAACUCGACUCCAUGAAGUCGGAAUCGCUAGUAAUCGUAGAUCAGAAUGCUACGGUGAAUACGUUCCCGGGCCUUGUACACACCGCCCGUCACACCAUGGGAGUGGGUUGCAAAAGAAGUAGGUAGCUUAACCUUCGGGAGGGCGCUUACCACUUUGUGAUUCAUGACUGGGGUGAAGUCGUAACAAGGUAGCCGUAGGGGAACCUGCGGCUGGAUCACCUCCUUACCUUAAAG
rnacentral:rRNA from 1 species